rnacentral:rRNA from 1 species
GACGAACGCUGGCGGCGUGCUUAACACAUGCAAGUCGAACGGUGAACCCCUUCGGGGGGAUCAGUGGCGAACGGGUGAGUAACACGUGAGCAACCUGCCCCUGACUCUGGGAUAACCCCGGGAAACCGAGCUAAUACCGGAUACGACCUGCUCGGGCAUCCGAUGCGGGUGGAAAGNUUUAUCGGUUGGGGAUGGGCUCGCGGCCUAUCAGCUUGUUGGGUGGGGUAACGCCUACCAAGGCGACGACGGGUAGCCGGCCUGAGAGGGCGACCGGCCACGCUGGGACUGAGACACGGCCCAGACUCCUACGGGAGGCAGCAGGUGGGGAAUAUUGCGCAAUGGGCGAAAGCCUGACGCAGCGACGCCGC